rnacentral:rRNA from 1 species
AGCCUGAACGCUGGCGGCGUGGCUAAGACAUGCAAGUCGCACGGUGUAGCAAUACACAGUGGCGAACGGGUGAGUAAUGAAUCGCUAAUGUACCCCGGACUCUGGGAUAGCUAGCCGAAAGGUUAGGUAAUACCAGAUGAUAUACUUCUAUCGCAUGAUAGAAGUCUCAAAGGUCCGCCGGUCUGGGAGCAGGCGAUUUCGUAUCAGCUAGUUGGUGAGGUAACGGCUCACCAAGGCGACGACGCGUAGCCGGACUGAGAGGUUGGCCGGCCACACUGGAACUGAGACACGGUCCAGACUCCUACGGGAGGCAGCAGUGGGGAAUCUUGCACAAUGGACGAAAGUCUGAUGCAGCAACGCCGCGUGGGGGAUGAAGCUUUUCGGAGUGUAAACCCCUUUCGACCCGGAAGAAUGCCCGCAAGGGUUUGACGGUACGGGUAUAAGAAGCCCGGCUAACGUACGUGCCAGCAGCCGC